UAAGUGCCCCCGCCUGGGAGUACGCCGCAAGGCCUAAACUCAAAGGAAUUGACGGGGGCCCGGCACAACGGCGGAGCAUCGGAUAAUUCGAUGCAACGCGAAGAACCUUACCAAGGCUUGACAUGGCCGGAUCGGGCUGGAAACAGUCCUUCCCCUUUGGGGCCGGUUCACAGUGGUGCAUGGUUGUCGUCAGCUCGUGUCGUGAGAUGUUGGGUUAAGUCCCGCAACGAGCGCAACCCUCGUUCCAUGUUGCCAGCACGUAGUGGUGGGGACUCAUGGGAGACUGCCGGGGUCAACUCGGAGGAAGGUGAGGACGACGUCAAAUCAUCAUGCCCCUUAUGUCUUGGGCUUCACGCAUGCUACAAUGGCCGGUACAAUGGGUUGCGAUACUGUGAGGUGGAGCUAAUCCCAAAAAGCCGGUCUCAGUUCGGAUUGGGGUCUGCAACUCGACCCCAUGAAGUCGGAGUCGCUAGUAAUCGCAGAUCAGCAACGCUGCGGUGAAUACGUUCCCGGGCCUUGUACACACCGCCCGUCAAGUCACGAAAGUUGGUAACACCCGAAGCCGGUGGCCCAACCCUUUUUGGGAGGGAGCCGUCGAAGGUGGGACCGGCGAUUGGGACUAAGUCGUAACAAGGUAGCCGUACCGGAAGGUGUGGCUGGAUCACCUCCUUAAUGGGCGAUUGCGCCGCUAAUU
rnacentral:rRNA from 1 species